UCUCUGGUCCUUGGCCAUGCUGUAGUUACGUGCACUGCUUUUAAAUUUUUGUCCAAAUAACCCUUCACUGCAACAUCUGCCUCCCACAGAGAUUUCCAGUCUCUCCUGGUAGUCACGAUCCGAUCCCUGUCACGGAAAGGCCACGUGUGACUGGGAGAGUAUUCAUCAAAACCCUCACUGGCAUUUGUGUACUGGCAGCAAGAUGAGGGAUCUGUGACCAUUGGUGACACCUGCUAGCCAUGGCUCAAUACCUAAAGGAAAAAAGAUGCAGUGUUGUAAGCACUUGAUUCUGGCCCUUUCAUUCAGAUUUCUGGUUUUGUUCAAAUAUUUUCUGACUGCUUUUUAAAAUCUUCUUAACAGAGGCAGCCACUUAAUGGGGAUGGUGAGCACAGUCCCAUGGAAUGAGUUCUCCUGCAGUGGGUACGUGUGCUCUGUCUCGAAACUAGAGAGCUCUUGCUCAUUUUACCUUCUGCUACUGCAGUCACGUUUGUAGGUUUUUCCUGGCCUGCCAGACUUUAACCAUCUGCAAGGGAGUGCUCUAAAUUUAAUUUGUGUGCAGCUAGAGUUUCUCUUUCUUUGGUUUUGAAUAAAUGUUACAUUUUUACUAACUUAAACAGGCUUCUAUUUUGCAAGUUUCUGCCUGAAUAUAUUUUGUUACAGUCAUUAUUAAAGGAAACUUGCAUAAAAGGACGCAAACAAAGUGCAAGUAUUGCUGUAAACUUAUAUGUCUAUGUUAAUAAAACUAGGGGAAAAGAAACUUGAGAGGGUGUGACAUACAUUUACUUAGACUUUCAGAUAUUAAUUUGUUUUCUAAAUGUAUACAUUAAAUGAAAUUAUUUUGUCAAAAAAAAUAUUAAAAGGGAUACCUUUCAGCAUGAACAUGCAGUGGAUUAUGACAUUCAUGUAGCACGUGGCAGUCAUGUUUGCUUUCUCUAAAAGCAGGUCAGCUGUUUGAGCAAACCUAAUUUCACCAUCAUUCAGGAAUGCUCUAGAUACAGAUACAAAUAAAGAAUAAAAUGCAAAGGUAAUUCUGAGCUACAUGGCUAAGGAUAAUUUGCAUUUAUAUGCUAUCUUUCAGCUAGAGAAAUCCCAACACAGUUCCAGGAAGGAAAAAAAAAAAAAAAAAAAAA